CCUACGGGCGGCAGCAGUGGGGAAUAUUGGACAAUGGGGGCAACCCUGAUCCAGCCAUGCCGCGUGUGUGAAGAAGGCCCUCGGGUUGUAAAGCACUUUCAGUGAGGAAGAACGCCUGGUGGUUAAUACCCAUCAGGAAAGACAUCACUCACAGAAGAAGCACCGGCUAACUCCGUGCCAGCAGCCGCGGUAAUACGGAGGGUGCGAGCGUUAAUCGGAAUUACUGGGCGUAAAGCGCGCGUAGGUGGCUUGAUAAGCCGGUUGUGAAAGUCCCGGGCUCAACCUGGGAACGGCAUCCGGAACUGUCAAGCUAGAGUGCAGGAGAGGAAGGUAGAAUUCCCGGUGUAGCGGUGAAAUGCGUAGAGAUCGGGAGGAAUACCAGUGGCGAAGGCGGCCUUCUGGACUGACACUGACACUGAGGUGCGAAAGCGUGGGUAGCAAACAGGAUUAGAUACCCUUGUAGUC
rnacentral:rRNA from 1 species